rnacentral:rRNA from 1 species
AUUGAACGCUGGCGGCAUGCUUUACACAUGCAAGUCGAACGGCAGCACGGGGGCAACCCUGGUGGCGAGUGGCGAACGGGUGAGUAAUACAUCGGAACGUGCCCAGUAAUGGGGGAUAGCCCGGCGAAAGCCGGAUUAAUACCGCAUACGCCCUGAGGGGGAAAGCGGGGGACCGAAAGGCCUCGCGUUAUUGGAGCGGCCGAUGGCUGAUUAGCUAGUUGGUAGGAUAAAGGCCUACAAAGGCGACGAUCAGUAGCUGGUCUGAGAGGACGACCAGCCACACUGGGACUGAGACACGGCCCAGACUCCUACGGGAGGCAGCAGUGGGGAAUUUUGGACAAUGGGCGAAAGCCUGAUCCAGCAAUGCCGCGUGUGCGAAGAAGGCCUUCGGGUUGUAAAGCACUUUUGUCAGGAACGAAAAGUUUGGCUCUAAUACAGUCGGACGAUGACGGUACCUGAAGAAUAAGCACCGGCUAACUACGUGCCAGCAGCCGCCGUAAAAC